rnacentral:rRNA from 1 species
UACGGGGGGAGCAAGCGUUGUUCGGAUUUACUGGGCGUAAAGAGCAGUGUAGGCGGUCCGGUAAGUCCGCUGUGAAAGUCGGGGGCUCAACCCUCGAAUGCCGGUGGAUACUGUCGGGCUAGAGUGCGGAAGAGGCGAGUGGAAUUCCUGGUGAUAGCGGUGAAAUGCGCAGAUAUCAGGAAGAACACCCGUGGCGAAGGCGGUUCUCUGGGACGGUACUGACGCUGGAGACGCGAAAGCGUGGGGAGCGAACAGG